rnacentral:tRNA from 1 species
GCAGGGGUAGCAAAGCCUGGUCAAAUGUGCGAGGCUCAGAACCUCGUCCCAUAGUGGGUUCGUGGGUUCAAAUCCCACCCCCUGCA